rnacentral:rRNA from 1 species
CGUAGGGGCGAGCGUUGUCCGGAUUUAUUGGGCGUAAAGAGCUCGUAGGCGGUUCGAUAAGUCGGACGUGAAAUCUCCACGCUCAACGUGGAGGGGCCGUUCGAUACUGUCGUGACUCGAGUCCGGUAGGGGAGUGUGGAAUUCCCGGUGUAGCGGUGAAAUGCGCAGAGAUCGGGAGGAACACCCGUAGCGAAGGCGGCACUCUGGGCCGGUACUGACGCUGAGGAGCGAAAGCGUGGGGAGCAAACAGGAUUAGAUACCCUGGUAGUCCACGCCGUAAACGUUGGGCACUAGGUGUGGGACUCUAUCGACGGGUUCCGUGCCGUAGCUAACGCAUUAAGUGCCCCGCCUGGGGAGUACGGCCGCAAGGCUA